UACGGAGGGUGCGAGCGUUAUCCGGAAUUACUGGGUUUAAAGGGUGCGUAGGCGGCCAGGUAAGUCAGGAGUGAAAGUUUGCGGCUCAACCGUAAAAUUGCUUUUGAUACUGCCAGGCUAGAAUUAGGAUGAGGUCAGCGGAAUGUGGCAUGUAGCGGUGAGAUGCAUAGAUAUGCCAUAGAACACCAAUUGCGAAGGCAGCUGGCUAGACCUGGAUUGACGCUGAGGCACGAAAGCGUGGGGAGCGAACAGG
rnacentral:rRNA from 1 species